AACAUACUCCCUCCGUCCGGAAAUACUUGUCAUCAAAAUGGAUAAAAGAAGAUGCAUCUAGACGUAUUUUAGUCGUAGAUACAUAUCUUUUUAUUCAUUUUGAUGACAAGUAUUUUCGGACGGAGGGAGUAGAAU
rfam:Triticum aestivum genome assembly, contig: Triticum_aestivum_CS42_TGACv1_scaffold_406391_5BL